CGGCAUCAGCGUGCUCCGGGCG
rnacentral:siRNA from 1 species